UUCCGGUUGAUCCUGCCGGAGGCUACUGCUAUCGGGGUCCGAUUAAGCCAUGCGAGUUGAGAGGGGUAAGCCCUCGGCAUAUUGCUCAGUAACACGCGGAUAACCUGCCCUUGGGUUUGGGAUAACCCCGGGAAACUGGGACUAAUACCGGAUAGAUCAAAGAAACUGGAAUGUUCUCUGAUCGAAAGCUCCGGCGCCCAAGGAUGGGUCUGCGGCCUAUCAGGUAGUAGUGGGUGUAACGUACCUACUAGCCUACGACGGGUAAGGGUUGUGAGAGCAAGAGCCCUGAGAUGGAUUCUGAGACAUGAAUCCAGGCCCUACGGGGUGCAGCAGGCGCGAAAACUUUACACUGCGGGAAACCGCGAUAAGGGGACCCCGAGUGCCAGCACCUAGUGCUGGCUGUCCAGCUGUUCAAAUAACAGUCGUUAGCAAGGGCCGGGCAAGACCGGUGCCAGCCGCCGCGGUAACACCGGCGGCCCGAGUGGUAGCCGUUAUUAUUGGGUUUAAAGGGUCCGUAGCCGGCCUAUUAAGUCUCUUGGGAAAUCUGGCGACUCAAUCGUCAGGCGUUCAAGAGAUACUGGUAGGCUUGGGACCGGGAGAGGUGGGAGGUACUCCAGGGGUAGGGGUGAAAUCUCGUAAUCCUUGGGGGACCACCGAUGGCGAAGGCAUCCCACCAGAACGGGUCCGACGGUGAGGGACGAAAGCUGGGGGCACGAACCGGAUUAGAUACCCGGGUAGUCCCAGCCGUAAACGAUGCUCGCUAGGUGUCAGGUGCGGUGCGACCGCAUCUGGUGCCGCAGUGAAAACUUGAAGCGAGUCACCUGGGAAGUACGGUCGCAAGGCUGAAACUUAAAGGAAUUGGCGGGGGAGCACUACAACGGGUGGAGCCUGCGGUUCAAUUGGAUUCAACGCCGG
rnacentral:rRNA from 1 species